AGCGAACGGACGAGAAGCUUGCUUCUCUGAUGUUAGCGGCGGACGGGUGAGUAACACGUGGAUAACCUACCUAUAAGACUGGGAUAACUUCGGGAAACCGGAGCUAAUACCGGAUAAUAUUUUGAACCGCAUGGUUCAAAAGUGAAAGGCGGUCUUGCUGUCACUUAUAGAUGGAUCCGCGCUGCAUUAGCUAGUUGGUAAGGUAACGGCUUACCAAGGCAACGAUGCAUAGCCGACCUGAGAGGGUGAUCGGCCACACUGGAACUGAGACACGGUCCAGACUCCUACGGGAGGCAGCAGUAGGGAAUCUUCCGCAAUGGGCGAAAGCCUGACGGAGCAACGCCGCGUGAGUGAUGAAGGUCUUCGGAUCGUAAAACUCUGUUAUUAGGGAAGAACAUAUGUGUAAGUAACUGUGCACAUCUUGACGGUACCUAAUCAGAAAGCCACGGCUAACUACGUGCCAGCAGCCGCGGUAAUACGUAGGUGGCAAGCGUUAUCCGGAAUUAUUGGGCGUAAGGCGCGCGUAGGCGGUUUUUUAAGUCUGAUGUGAAAGCCCACGGCUCAACCGUGGAGGGUCAUUGGAAACUGGAAAACUUGAGUGCAGAAGAGGAAAGUGGAAUUCCAUGUGUAGCGGUGAAAUGCGCAGAGAUAUGGAGGAACACCAGUGGCGAAGGCGACUUUCUGGUCUG
rnacentral:rRNA from 1 species